CAUGUGAGCGUUUCCUUUCUUGUUCUCAAGUUAUGUAAACAAGAAAAUGUAAUAUUUAACUCAAUUUGGAGUUGUGUGUAAAUUUACAUUUCGCAUUGAGUUUAUUUUCCUUGAUUUUUGUUGAAACAGGUUUUGGGAUAUUAAUAUUUUAGGAUAUAUCAUGCCAAAAUUUUUGAAAUUUAUCUUUCGAAAAUUGGGGCGUGACACAACCGAAGGCAAACGUUGCAAAGUCUACAUUUAACAUAAGACAAACGUUGCAAAGUCUACAUUUAACAUAAGACACGUCUAUUAUUUUCAUAAGAAAUGUCUACCAUUUACAUAAGCGAAAUAAAAGAAAAGUAGACUUUCUGGAAAUAAAAAAUUGUUCUUGAAAUUGAAUCAACCGAAGGUGAAAGUUGCAAAGUCUACAUUUAACAUAAGAUACAACUACUUUUUUCAUAAGAAAUGUCUACCAUUAACAUAAGAGAAAUCAAAGAAGUAGACUUUGUGGAAAUCUAA
rnacentral:lncRNA from 1 species